GAACAUAGGCAAUAGGACAUCCAUCAAAGCUAAGACAAGCCAAACCACAGGAUUUAAUGCCAAUUCUCCAGAGAUUCAUUUUUCUUGUGACACAUCUGCUGAAUAAGAACGUCUUAGGGUGAGGCCCAGGAAUCUGUGUUUUAAGAAGCUCUCCAGGUGAUUCUGAUGCAUAGCCAAGUUUGAGAAUCACUAUGAAGAUGACCAGACAAUGCUUCAUAGAGUUCAGCCUUCCAGAAGUGUCCAUAUACUUCUUUCAGUCUUUAAACAAAACCACCGAAAUCAUUUUUGAACAUCAUUCUAAGUGAAUCUGGCAGCUAUUUGCAAGUGUGACUGAGACAAAAGGAGAACA